GGGCCAUUAGCUCAAUUGGCAGAGCAACUGACUCUUAAUCAGUAGGUUACAGGUUCGAUUCCUGUAUGGCCCU
rnacentral:tRNA from 2 species